rnacentral:rRNA from 1 species
CCUACGGGAGGCAGCAGUUAGGAAUCUUGCGCAAUGGGCGAAAGCCUGACGCAGCGACGCCGCGUGCGGGAUGACGGCCUUCGGGUUGUAAACCGCUUUCAGCGGGGACGAUUAUGACGGUACCUGCAGAAGAAGCCCCGGCCAACUACGUGCCAGCAGCCGCGGUAAUACGUAGGGGGCAAGCGUUGUCCGGAUUUAUUGGGCGUAAAGAGCUCGUAGGCGGUUUGGUAAGUCGGGUGUGAAAUCUCCACGCUCAACGUGGAGGGGCCACUCGAUACUGCCAUGACUCGAGUCCGGUAGAGGAGUGUGGAAUUCCCGGUGUAGCGGUGAAAUGCGCAGAUAUCGGGAGGAACACCCGUAGCGAAGGCGGCACUCUGGGCCGGAACUGACGCUGAGGAGCGAAAGCGUGGGGAGCAAACAGGAUUAGAUACCCUGGUAGUCCACGCCGUAAACGUUGGGCACUAGGUGUGGGGAUCUAUCGACGGUUUCCGUGCCGAAGCUAACGCAUUAAGUGCCCCGCCUGGGGAGUACGGCCGCAAGGCUAAAACUCAAAGGAAUUGACGG